GGUACUUGUACCGACUGGAUGAGCAGCGAACGGGUGAUUAACGCGUGGGGAAUCUGCCUUUGAGCGGGGGACAACAUUUGGAAACGAAUGCUAAUACCGCAUAAAAACUUUAAACACAAGUUUUAAGUUUGAAAGAUGCAAUUGCAUCACUCAAAGAUGAUCCCGCGUUGUAUUAGCUAGUUGGUGAGGUAAAGGCUCACCAAGGCGAUGAUACAUAGCCGACCUGAGAGGGUGAUCGGCCACAUUGGGACUGAGACACGGCCCAAACUCCUACGGGAGGCAGCAGUAGGGAAUCUUCGGCAAUGGACGAAAGUCUGACCGAGCAACGCCGCGUGAGUGAAGAAGGUUUUCGGAUCGUAAAACUCUGUUGGUAGAGAAGAACGUUGGUGAGAGUGGAAAGCUCAUCAAGUGACGGUAACUACCCAGAAAGGGACGGCUAACUACGUGCCAGCAGCCGCGGUAAUACGUAGGUCCCGAGCGUUGUCCGGAUUUAUUGGGCGUAAAGCGAGCGCAGGUGGUUUAUUAAGUCUGGUGUAAAAGGCAGUGGCUCAACCAUUGUAUGCAUUGGAAACUGGUAGACUUGAGUGCAGGAGAGGAGAGUGGAAUUCCAUGUGUAGCGGUGAAAUGCGUAGAUAUAUGGAGGAACACCGGUGGCGAAAGCGGCUCUCUGGCCUGUAACUGACACUGAGGCUCGAAAGCGUGGGGAGCAAACAGGAUUAGAUACCCUGGUAGUCCACGCCGUAAACGAUGAGUGCUAGAUGUAGGGAGCUAUAAGUUCUCUGUAUCGCAGCUAACGCAAUAAGCACUCCGCCUGGGGAGUACGACCGCAAGGUUGAAACUCAAAGGAAUUGACGGGGGCCCGCACAAGCGGUGGAGCAUGUGGUUUAAUUAGAAGCAACGCGAAGAACCUUACCAGGUCUUGACAUACUCGUGCUAUUCCUAGAGAUAGGAAGUUCCUUCGGGACACGGGAUACAGGUGGUGCAUGGUUGUCGUCAGCUCGUGUCGUGAGAUGUUGGGUUAAGUCCCGCAACGAGCGCAACCCCUAUUGUUAGUUGCCAUCAUUAAGUUGGGCACUCUAACGAGACUGCCGGUGAUAAACCGGAGGAAGGUGGGGAUGACGUCAAAUCAUCAUGCCCCUUAUGACCUGGGCUACACACGUGCUACAAUGGAUGGUACAACGAGUCGCGAGACAGUGAUGUUUAGCUAAUCUCUUAAAACCAUUCUCAGUUCGGAUUGUAGGCUGCAACUCGCCUACAUGAAGUCGGAAUCGGUAGUAAUCGCGGAUCAGCACGCCGCGGUGAAUACGUUCCCGGGCCUUGUACACACCGC
rnacentral:rRNA from 1 species